rnacentral:rRNA from 1 species
UACGUAGGGUGCGAGCGUUGUCCGGAAUUAUUGGGCGUAAAGGGCUCGUAGGCGGUCUGUUACGUCGGGAGUGAAAACUCGGGGCUCAACCCCGAGCCUGCUUCCGAUACGGGCAGACUAGAGGUAUGUAGGGGAGAAUGGAAUUCCUGGUGUAGCGGUGAAAUGCGCAGAUAUCAGGAGGAACACCGGUGGCGAAGGCGGUUCUCUGGGCAUUACCUGACGCUGAGGAGCGAAAGUGUGGGGAGCGAACAGG